rnacentral:tRNA from 1 species
UCCCUGGUGGCUCAGAGGUUAAAGCGUCUGCUUGCAAUGCAGGAGACCCAGGUUCAAUCCCUGGGUCAGGAAG